CAAUAGAGGACUCCAACCUGGACAAUGCACAUGUGAUUAGUCACGAUAUUGAGAAUCAAGCUCAACAUACCACGACACCUGUUGCCAAGGGUAGACGAAGCUCCUUCUAUUCUGUCAUCAGGUGGAUUUACGUCAAGUUAUGGAAAGUGCUACUACUACAUG